rnacentral:rRNA from 1 species
UACGUAGGGCGCGAGCGUUGUUCGGAAUUAUUGGGCGUAAAGAGCUCGUAGGCGGCCGGUUGCGUCUGCUGUGAAAUCCCGGGGCUUAACCCCGGGCGUGCAGUGGAUACGGGCCGGCUGGAGGCAGGCAGGGGAGAAUGGAAUUCCCGGUGUAGCGGUGAAAUGCGCAGAUAUCGGGAGGAACACCGGUGGCGAAGGCGGUUCUCUGGGCCUUACCUGACGCUGAGGAGCGAAAGCGUGGGGAGCGAACAGG